CUGGCUGCUACCACCGACCUUCCUUACACUACAUUUUCUGAAAAGCCUGCGCGAGAAAGAGAGUUAGCCGGGUGAUCGAGCAAACCAAAGCUCAAAGGAAUUAAUCCACGGCGACGCAAGAGAGUGUUCAGUGUCUACCUUUAUAUAUGAUCUCUCUUUCUGGUCUAUCCCUCCCUCCAUCUUGUUCCGGGGCCGCAUAGUUGAUUGCGACUCCAAAUUCUCUUUCACCUUUCACUCGGUAAGUGGAUUCGUCGACGUGUGAGCGAGCCUCGCUCCACUCCGGGAGCACUCAUGCGCACGAACUGAUAUAUGGCACGCCAGCGAACAUUCGCACCAAUCUGCAAGGUGCACUUCGGGCUUUGCGAGUCAAACAAGGAUAGCGGGAUCGUCUAGAAAAACUUACGCUCUCUUCGAGGCCGAGGUAGCUAGCCUGCAUCGAAAAACAAGGAGCACGAUGAAUCACAUGACGAGAUGGUUCGCUAUGCUGCUGGGAAUGUUUACCGUCAAGAGAAUUUCUAGCAAGGAGUUAGCAGACUCAGAGGAUUCGCUCGACAGGUCUGGCUCGCUCUCUGGCAGCGAAGGAUGUCUAACUCCAAGGGCCUUGGCCAAGCUCAAGUGGUUGUCAAAGCGCAAGGAAGCCAAGCGCAAAGCUGCUCUUUUGCGCGUGGAGCAGCAGUACAGGAAGCAGGACGAUAUGUUCUGGGAGAACACGGGAGCCGUGUGGCAGAGAACGAUUCUCAUGGGCGAGAAGUGCGAGCCUCCGGAUUUCUCUGGCCUCAUCCUGUAUGACGAGAGAGGAAAUAGAGUGCCCGAGUAUCCUGCAAAGUCACCCAGAGCAGGAUCAGGAGCGGGAUCACUCUUCUAGGAGGUACUCGACUCCUGCAAACACCAAAGGAUUAAAACAACGAUCAAGCACUAGUUUUAGCUACCUGUAGUUGCAGCUCAGAAGAGAGUGCGUCUUCCCAGUAUGUUCUCGAAGUCAAGAAUCUGACUUGUUCAGCUAUCCAAUAUUGAAAAUCCAAGUUCGGCUUACGGA